rfam:Myotis lucifugus cont2.38377, whole genome shotgun sequence.
GGUGGUUCUCAGGUGAUGAACCCCAGAAUCAGCCCUCUCUGGUUCCGGGGUGCAUCACCCAAGAACUGCC